CUGGCGGUGUGCUUAACACAUGCAAGUCGAGCGAGAAAGGUCUUCGGACUGAGUAAAGCGGCAGACGGGUGAGUAACGCGUGGGAAUCUGCCUUUCAGUGGAGAAUACCCUCGAGAAAUCGAGGUUAAUCCUGCAUACGUCUUGAAAAAGAGAAAGAUGGCCUCUUUGCUGUCGCUGAAAGAUGAGCUUGCGUACUAUUAGCUAGUUGGUGGGGUAAAGGCCUACCAAGGCGAUGAUGGUUAGCCGACCUGAGAGGGUGUACGGCCACAUUGGAACUGAGACACGGUCCAGACUCCUACGGGAGGCAGCAGUGAGGAAUAUUGCGCAAUGGGCGAAAGCCUAACGCAGCGACACCGCGUGGAGGAUGAAGGUCUUUGGAUUGUAAACUUCUGUUAAGUGGGAAGAAAGGCAAGGUUAUAAUACAGCUUUGAUAUGACGGUACCACUAAAGAAAGCACCGGCUAACUUCGUGCCAGCAGCCGCGGUAAUACGAAGGGUGCGAGCGUUAUUCGGAAUUAUUGGGCGUAAAGGGUGCGCAGGCGGCGCGCUAAGUCAACUGUCAAAUUCCUCGGCCUAACCGGGGACCGGCGGUAGAUACUGGUGUGCUAGAGGGUGGAAGAGAGAAGUGGAAUUCUUGGAGUAGCGGUAAAAUGCGUAGAUCUCAAGAGGAACACCGAUGGCGAAGGCAGCUUCUUGGUCCAUUUCUGACGCUCAUGCACGAAAGCG
rnacentral:rRNA from 1 species